GCCUGGGUGGCUCAGUCGGUUAAGCGUCUGACUUCGGCUCAGGUCACGAUCUCACGGUCCGUGAGUUCGAGCCCCGCGUCGGGCU
rnacentral:tRNA from 1 species